rnacentral:rRNA from 1 species
GCAACGGAUAUCUAGGCUCUCGCAUCGAUGAAGAACGUAGCGAAAUGCGGUACUUGGUGUGAAUUGCAGAAUCCCGUGAACCAUCGAGUUUUUGAA